rnacentral:rRNA from 1 species
AUUGAACGCUGGCGGCAGGCCUAACACAUGCAAGUCGAGCGGCAGCACAGAGGAACUUGUUCCUUGGGUGGCGAGCGGCGGACGGGUGAGUAAUGCCUGGGAAAUUGCCCUGAUGUGGGGGAUAACCAUUGGAAACGAUGGCUAAUACCGCAUGAUGCCUACGGGCCAAAGAGGGGGACCUUCGGGCCUCUCGCGUCAGGAUAUGCCCAGGUGGGAUUAGCUAGUUGGUGAGGUAAUGGCUCACCAAGGCGACGAUCUCUAGCUGGUUUGAGAGGAUGAUCAGCCACACUGGAACUGAGACACGGUCCAGACUCCUACGGGAGGCAGCAGUGGGGAAUAUUGCACAAUGGGGGAAACCCUGAUGCAGCCAUGCCGCGUGUGUGAAGAAGGCCUUCGGGUUGUAAAGCACUUUCAGUAGGGAGGAAGGCGUGGUCGCUAAUAUCGGCUACGUUUGACGUUACCUACAGAAGAAGCACCGGCUAACUCCGUGCCAGCAGCCGCGGUAAA